AUGGGUAUGCUAUCUUGUAUGUUACCUGGGCUCUACUCUGUAUUCUGGGAUUUUGUUAAUUGUUCUAUAUCAGGGUUCAUACUUCCCAUUGGAGUGUGUAUUCUGUUCUUUUCAUUGGUUCUUAGGUUGGGUUAUCUCAGAGGCAGAAACCGAGACAAGAAAGUUAGUGGAAGCAGUUUAUUUGGGAGAACGUCCCAGGAAGCACUGCUUGAAAUCUUGGAUCACUGACUCUGAGGGAAGCCAGCUACCCUAUUGUGAAGCUACUCACCAACUCUGCAGUGAGAUCCACAAGAUGAUUCUGUGAGCAGUCAUGAGGAAUGAAAGCCUCUGGAUAAUAGCCGCACGACAGAGUUAGGAAGAAGAUCCUCUAGCACCUGUCAAAUCUCUAGACGGUAAAACCUGAGCCAGAACCACCCAGCUAAGCUUCUCCCAGAUUCCUGGCUCACAAAAGCUGUGAAAAGAAAUGUUUGUUCUUUUAAGCCAUUGAGUUUUGAGGUAAUUUGUUAAGUGGCAGUAGAUAACUAUUAAUAAUAAAAUUGUAUUGGAUUUUUCCAUUUCCUAGUUUGGUUCUUUUUGGUAAAUUUAAGGUUGACUUUAAAAAAUAUUUUUUGCUCUCCUUUUAAAGUGUGUAGUUUUUCACCAUAUUAAACAAGAACUUUGAUAUCAACUCUUUGCCUCGAAUAUGGCACGAUAUGUUAACCUUUGCUUUUCACUUCCUUUUUUUUUAGAAAGAGGGUCUUGCUCUGUCACCCAGGCUGGAGUGAAGUGAUGCAUCCUCAGUUCACCGCAACCUCUGCCUCCUGGGCUCAAGCAGUCCUCCCAUUUCAGCCUCUUGAGUAGCUGGGACUUCAAGUGCAUACCACCAUGCCUAACUAACUUUUGUGUGCUUUUUUUUUUUUUUUUUUUUUUUUUUUUUAUAGAGAUGGAGUUUUGCCAGGCUGGUCGUGAACUCCUGGACUCAAGCGAUCAGUCUGCCUUGGUCUCCCAAAGUGCUAGGAUUAUAGGUGACAGCUACUGCACCUGGCCAUUCCUUUUUAUUAUACGUAGUCAUUGGGGAUCUGGGGCAACUUUUGUCAUUUUGUUUCUGGGACAAUAGUGAAGAGGUAAUUUAUUCAGUGUGUCCUUCCCCCUCACAUUUUACCUAUAAAGAGAACAAUGUGGAGAGGUUAAUGCUCUUAAUUGAUAGAGACACUAACAAGUUCUAGACAAAAAAAGGCUUUAAUGUAGCCUCCAAAAACCUCUUCAACAUUUGUGGUUUUUUUCCACACCUACUUCUAACAAUCCUCUUGGAUUCUCUGGAUUCUUCGUAACCUCAGUCACGGACACCACUACUGUUCUCUCCUUCUGGUUCAUACUGAUUAGAAGUGGCUGUUCCUCUGCAUCACCAGGUUCAUAACCUCAAUGUUCUCUGUUCGAAAUCUCUUAAGAAAUAUUUUUUCCUAUAAAUUUCACAUUUGCAUUUUAUUUUUAGAAAUAUUGCAUGAAGGACAUAGAACAAAGGGCAGAAUCUGAUGAAUGGGGAGAUUAUGACCUCAUGAAGUUAAAGCAGAGUCUCUUAACCUAGAAACUAGAGAAAGCAGGUAUUCCCUUCUAAGCAACUCUAGCACCUCCAUUUUAUAAUAAGUUAAAUCACUUUAAAAUAAAAAAAAUUAUGUUGAAAUGUAAGCAUGGGAGAACAGAGCUUCAAGACAUACUUGAUGAUUUGAAAAAAAAACUCUUGUAGAAAUACACACUUAAAAAUGAGAGCACAAACUAGUACACAUUCUGUGAUAAAAAUCAUGUAAAAAGGGUGGAUAUAUAUGGAUAUAGAUUUGGAACUAAAGAAAUGUAAAUAGAUAUUUUAUUUAGGCCUAGACACCACAGGUACAUUUUUUGAAACCAUAAAAACAAAACCUUUCUGGAAGGAAGAUAUAUAACUACAUAUGCCUGGGUGGAUUUCUGUAAACAUACUGCAAUGGAGAAUUUUUAAAAGUAAAUUGGUGCCGGGUGCGGUGGCUCACACCUGUAAUCCCAGCACUUUGGGAGGCUGAGGCGGGUGGAUCACUUGAGGUCAGGUGUUUGAGACGAGCCUGGCCAACAUGGUGAAACCCCAUCUCUAUUAAAAAUACAAAAAUCAGCUGGGUGUGGCAGUGCACACCUGUAAUCCCAGCUACUUGGGAGGCUGGGGCAGAGAAUCACUUGAACCUGGGAGGCGGAGGUUGCAGUGAGCCGAGAUUGCGCCACUGCACUCCAGCCUGGGCAACAGAGCAAAACUCAAUUUCAAAAAAAGAAAAAAAGUAAAUGGGGCUGCGGUUAUGAAGGAGAGAGAAAGAGAGCAUUCUUUCCUUCUGGCUGAAGUGGGUUUGUGAGAUAAGACUUCCCUCGUAUCUGUUUUAAAACGGUUCUGUGCUUCUUUCCCUCUCCCGCUUGGCCCCCUUUUGCUGUGGUCUGUUUUUCUUCUCCUCUCUUGAUAGAAAAUCUCCAAAUUACUGUGUGACUGAUUAUUUUGCCUGAACAAAAAUAAUGAUAAUAAAACUUCCAAAAACUGAAGUAUGGUAAGUUUCAAUUUUAAAAUCAGACCAACAAGGUGGUGUCUCAAGAGCUGAGCCUGCUGUCACCUUUGGCUUCUAAGAAACAACCAACAGCCUGCCUCAGUCUUCUACGUGUGUUUUCAGACCUCUGAGUAUGGAAAUAACCUAAGGCAGGGAGCAAAGGCCAUACAAUUGAAAGAAAUAAAUAGGCCUGCUUAUUAGGUCUCCCUAUAAAACUAUUUAUGAUCUGUUAUGCCUCAUCUAUUAAAGAACGUAAUAAGCACCACAGGUCACAUUACAGAUGUGCAUGUGGUUAACUUUAAAAAUGCGGCUGUCUCCAGAAGGAAUUCCGUUUGAAGAACGGCCAGUUACAGUGUAAUGUCAAACUGUUUCCAUCUGCCCUGUGGACUGCUGAACACUGAUCAUUUAUGUCAGGGUCGACAAGGCCAUUUUCUUCCCUGGGUAGGAAAAAAAAAAAAAAAAAAAAAGAGGGUAGCGGAAGUAUACAUCAGGCCAGAGGGGGUAAAUCUCUACAGAGAGGACUCUAGCUAUGAGAUGGUAGCUGGGUAGAGGUGACCUUGCAGAAGGCCAGGUGAGUAUGUUCAGGAAUCUGGGUACACUGUAACAAAUGGGAAGUCCUGGCCAGGAUGUGUCUGUAAUGGCAAGCUUGUAAAGUGGUAUACAGCCCCGCUGUGGCAGUUAAUCCCUGACUUGGCAUCUUUGGGAGAGCUGGGGUCUUCUAUCUUUUUAUAAAUGAACUGCAGCUCCGGGUGGUUGCAGUGGCUCACACCUGUAAUCCCAGCACUUUGGGAGGCCAAGGUGGGCGGAUCAAGAGGUCAGGAGUUUCAGACCAGCCUGGCCAAUAUGGUGAAACCCAGUCUCUACUAAAAAUACAAAAAUUAGCCAGGCGUGGUGGUGCACACCUGUAGUCCCAGCUACUUGGGAGGCUGAGGCUGGAGAAUCGCUUGAACCUGGGAGGCAGAGGUUGCAAUAAGCCGAGAUCACGCCACUGACUCCAGCCUGGGCGAUGAGUGAGACUCCAUCUAAAAACCAAAACAAAACAAAAGAACUGCAGCUCAGUUUCUUAUGUUCCAUUUCAUCCUGUGACCUGACCUCACACUACGUGGGUCAAAAUAGAUGUCUUUGAAAUGCAUGUGAUUUCCCUAAGUUAUUUUAGUGUCAAAACUUCUGGAAUUUGCCUAAAACAUAAAUCCACAUCCCUUUCCACCUUCAGGCUUCAUUUUUCACCUUUUCCUUGCAAGUAUCAGUAUCUAUAUUUUUUUAUUCAUGUCUUUUUUUCUUAGCUUUAAAUUCUGGGUUUUAUGACCCUUGCCUUAUUAUCACAGAUUUCUUCUCUCAUAUGGCUUCCUGCUUUAUUGUCUGUGGGCAUACUCGCUACCUCUUCUGAAAAAUUCUCUAGAGAUUCUACACUAGGUCAGAUCUUUGCUACUGGCAGCACAAGCUUCAUCCCUGCACUCGCAUAUGGCGGAAGAGACUAGCUGCUUUUCAUAUGUCAACUCAAAAGAUGAGGGAUUUUUGAGGGUAAUACCAUCGUAAGCGGCUUUCAUUUUCUUUGUACUCUAAAAUUUUUUUCCAAAUGUUCAAUAAUAAACAUUACUUUAAUUUACAAUUUUAAAA
rnacentral:lncRNA from 1 species